ensembl:lncRNA novel transcript
GAGGAUUUGAGCCCCAAAUCCAACAACAGGAACAACAAAGAAGGUUGCAGACUAUGCUGUUCUGCAGUUUCUUUAUUUUAGGAAGUCCAGGGGGCCCAGGCAAGCCAGGGAGGCCAGGGCUACCCAGAGAACCCUGGAAAGCAAAAACAAAGUCCCCGGAGUUACUGUCACUGCAACACUGAAAGCACGGAAGGCAGAAACAACCUUGGGUGUGUUGACUUGUGUCUAAAAUAAACGUGCUGUGGUUGGUUGAA